rnacentral:lncRNA from 1 species
GUUGGGCAUGUUUUGAAAUUAGGGUUUUUUAAAAGACAUGCAUCUUUUCUACCUCACUUGUGACUAUAAAGAAACUUUUGCUCCAUCUAUGUUUGUGAACGUACGUGUAUAGGCUAGUGGCCAAACAAUGCAAAUUAUUUGUUAGAUUUAUUUUCUUCUUUCUCUCUUAAUUCUAUUUGGUGUUUCCAAAUUAGAAUUUUUUAGUCUUUAUCAUACCACUGAAAUUAGUACACGUAAAAUCAGUCACUUUGAUUCCUUGUGUGAGAAUUAUUC